UAGGGAAUCUUCGGCAAUGGGGGCAACCCUGACCGAGCAACGCCGCGUGAGUGAAGAAGGUUUUCGGAUCGUAAAGCUCUGUUGUAAGAGAAGAACGUGUGUGAGAGUGGAAAGUUCACACAGUGACGGUAACUUACCAGAAAGGGACGGCUAACUACGUGCCAGCAGCCGCGGGAAUACGUAGGUCCCGAGCGGUGUCCGGACUUAUUGGGCGUAAAGCGAGCGAAGCCGGUUUAAUAAGUCUGAAGUUAAAGGCAGUGGCUUAACCAUUGUUCGCUUUGGCAACUCUUAACCUUGAGUGCAGAAGGGGGGAGUGGAGUUCCAUGUGUAGCGGUGAAAUGCGUAGAUAUAUGGAGGAACACCGGAGGCGAAAGCGGGUCUCUGGUCUGUACCUGUCGCUGAGGGGUGAAAGCGUGGGGAGCAAGCAGG
rnacentral:rRNA from 1 species